AUUGAACGCUGGCGGCAGGCCUAACACAUGCAAGUCGAACGAGUGGCGGACGGGUGAGUAUUGUCUGGGAAACUGCCCGAUGGCGGGGGAUAACUACUGGAAACGGUAGCUAAUACCGCAUACCAUCGGAUGUGCCCAGAUGGGAUUAGCUCGUAGGUGGGGUAACGGCUCACCUAGGCGACGAUCCCUCGCUGGUCUGAGAGGUUGACCAGCCACACGGGAACGGAGACACGGUCGAGACUCCUACGGUAGGCAGAAGUGGGGAAUAUUGCACAAGGGGCGCAAGCCGGAUGCAGCCAUGCCGGUUGUAUGAAGAAGGCCUUCGGGUUGUAAAGUACUUUCAGCGAGGAGGCGGUACUCGCAGAAGAAGCACCGGCUAACUCCGUGCCAGCAGCCGCGGUAAUUC
rnacentral:rRNA from 1 species